rnacentral:rRNA from 1 species
GGACCUAAGCCGAGGCCGAAAGGCGUAGGUGAUGGACAACAGGUUGAUAUUCCUGUACCACCAAUAACCGUUUGAGAAAUGGGAUGACACAGUAGGAUAAGCUAACCGCACUGUUGGUUAUGUGCGGGCAAGUAUUGAGGCAGUUCCGAUAGGCAAAUCCGUCGGAAUAAUGCUGGGGUACGAUGCGGAGCGAAAUUUAGUAGCGAAGUAGCUGAUUUCACACUGUCGAGAAAAGUCUCUAUCGAGGUUAAAGGUGCCUGUACCGCAAACCGACACAGGUGGGUGAGGAGAGUAUCCUAAGGCCAGCGAGAGAACUGUUGUUAAGGAACUCGGCAAAAUGACCCCGUAACUUAGGGAGAAGGGGUGCCUUCGAAAGAAGGCCGCAGAGAAUAGGCCCAAGCGACUGUUUACCAAAAACAUAGGUUUCUGCUAAGUCGCAAGACGAUGUAUAGGAGCUGACGCCUGCCCGGUGCUGGAAGGUUAAGGGGAUCUGUUAGAGCAAUCGAAGCAGUGAACUUAAGCCCCAGUAAACGGCGGCCGUAACUAUAACGGUCCUAAGGUAGCGAAAUUCCUUGUCGGGUAAGUUCCGACCCGCACGAAAGGCGUAACGAUUUGGGCACUGUCUCAACAACAGACUCGGUGAAAUUGUAAUACCGGUGAAGAUGCCGGUUACCUGCGACAGGACGGAAAGACCCCAUGGAGCUUUACUGUAGCUUGACAUUGAGUCUCGGUGCUACAUGUACAGGAUAGGUGGGAGACUAUGAAGCAUGGACGUCAGUCUGUGUGGAGUCAUCCUUGGGAUACCACCCUUGUAGUACUGGGAUUCUAACCAGAGGCCAUGAAUCUGGUCUUGGGACACUGUCAGGUGGACAGUUUGACUGGGGCGGUCGCCUCCCAAAAAGUAACGGAGGCGCUCAAAGGUUCUCUCAGUACGGUCGGAAAUCGUACGAAGAGUGUAAAGGCAAAAGAGAGCUUGAUUGCAAGACAUACAGGUCGAGCAAGGACGAAAGUCGGACUUAGUGAUCCGGUGGUUCCGCAUGGAAGGGCCAUCGCUCAACGGAUAAAAGCUA